AGUUUAAAUCAGUCACUUAAAGAGGAGUCUCAUGUAGUUUGGACUCUCCCUCCUCUCAUGCACCAACUAGUCCCACGCCCACUUGGAUUUUGGAUGCCAUAAAUACCAAACGCCUCUCCCUCUUUUGCAUAUAAGAAUUCAUGUCAAAAUCCACCGUGUGCUCUUCCUAUCUCACGGUAUUGGCAUGUAACAAAUUGGCACAAAAAAGAAUAGGGUGGGCGGCACAAUUCUAGAGUCCAAGGAAAUUUGGACUCUCACCUAAAACCCUAUCUAUUCCUAUUUAAACAUGGGAUUAUGAGGAGCAGUUGAAACUUGAUUAUGAUCAGAUUUUGGAUGCCA
rnacentral:lncRNA from 1 species